CCUACGGGCCGCAGCAGUGGGGAAUAUUGCACAAUGGGCGCAAGCCUGAUGCAGCCAUGCCGCGUGUAUGAAGAAGGCCUUCGGGUUGUAAAGUACUUUCAGCGGGGAGGAAGGCGAUAAGGUUAAUAACCUUGUCGAUUGACGUUACCCGCAGAAGAAGCACCGGCUAACUCCGUGCCAGCAACCGCGGUAAUACGGAGGGUGCAAGCGUUAAUCGGAAUUACUGGGCGUAAAGCGCACGCAGGCGGUCUGUCAAGUCGGAUGUGAAAUCCCCGGGCUCAACCUGGGAACUGCAUUCGAAACUGGCAGGCUAGAGUCUUGUAGAGGGGGGUAGAAUUCCAGGUGUAGCGGUGAAAUGCGUAGAGAUCUGGAGGAAUACCGGUGGCGAAGGCGGCCCCCUGGACAAAGACUGACGCUCAAGUGCGAAAGCGUGGGGAGCAAACAGGAUUAGAUACCCUUGUAGUC
rnacentral:rRNA from 1 species